UACAGAGGUCCCAAGCGUUGUUCGGAUUCAUUGGGCGUAAAGAGUGUGUAGGCGGUGCUCUAAGUUCGGUGUGAAAUCUCCCGGCUCAACUGGGAGGGUGCGCCGGAAACUGGAGUGCUCGAGCGUGGGAGAGGAAAGCGGAAUUCCUGGUGUAGCGGUGAAAUGCGUAGAUAUCAGGAGGAACACCUGCGGUGUAGACGGCUUUCUGGACCAUAGCUGACGCUGAGACACGAAAGCGUGGGUAGCAAACAGG
rnacentral:rRNA from 1 species